UACGAAGGGGGCUAGCGUUGUUCGGAAUUACUGGGCGUAAAGCGCACGUAGGCGGAUACUUAAGUCAGGGGUGAAAUCCCGGGGCUCAACCCCGGAACUGCCUUUGAUACUGGGUAUCUCGAGUCCGGAAGAGGUGAGUGGAAUUCCGAGUGUAGAGGUGAAAAUUCGUAGAUAUUCGGAGGAACACCAGUGGCGAAGGCGGCUCACUGGUCCGGUACUGACGCUGAGGUGCGAAAAGCGUGGGGGAGCAAACAGGG
rnacentral:rRNA from 1 species